GUAGUCCACGCCGUAAACGAUGGAUACUAGCUGUUGGAGGUAUCGACCCCUUCAGUAGCGAAGCUAACGCGUUAAGUAUCCCGCCUGUGGAGUACGGUCGCAAGACUAAAACAUAAAGGAAUUGACGGGGACCCGCACAAGCGGUGGAUCGUGUUCUUUAAUUCGAUGAUAAACGAAGAACCUUACCAGGGCUUGACAUCCAGGGAAGCACUACGAAAGUAGAGUGUGCCUUUUGGAACCCUGUGACAGAUGAUGCAUGGCCGUCGUCAGCUCGUGUCGUGAGAUGUUUGGUUAAGUCCAUCAACGAGCGCAACCCUUGUGAAUAGUUGUAUUUUUCUAUUCAGACUGCCCCGGUAACGGGGAGGAAGGAGGGGAUGAGGUCAGGUCUGUAUUUCUCUUACGUCCUGGGCUAGAAACACGAUACAAUGGUUAGUACAAUGCGCAGCGAAGCCGCGAGGUGGAGCAAAUCGCAUCAAAGCUAAUCUCAGUUCGGAUAAGAGGCUGAAACUCGCCUCUUUGAAGUCGGAAUCGCUAGUAAUCGCAGGUCAGCAAACUGCGGUGAAUACGUUCCCGGGUCUUGUACACACCGCCCGUCAAACCAUGAAAGUCACCAACACCCGAAGUCCGAUUUUUCGGCCUAAGGUGGGGGGGAUGAUUGGGGUU
rnacentral:rRNA from 1 species